rnacentral:lncRNA from 1 species
AUAUUUACAAAGCCAGGAGGUGUGAGGGAACCUCACAUUCAGGGGAAAUGCAAGAAUAUAUGGAGGACAAGAAGAUGGAAAGAGAGGGCAGUCAGAAAAAUCAGCAAGACAGAGAAAUAACCAAGAGAAAUGAGCAAAGCCCGACUGUUGUUCCUACUUUGGCCAUUGGAGCUCUUUCCAGUUAGCUUCUCUUCCUUGGACAGCUUCCAUACGUUUUUGAGCACUUCCUUAUUUCUGACACCAGAAGAUGACUCAGGCUUGACUUGUAUUCUCCCCGUCCAACAAUGGAAUCUGCCAUUUCUCCAAGGAGCCCUGAUUCCUUUUAUUUGAG